rnacentral:rRNA from 1 species
AUACGUAGGUGGCAAGCGUUAUCCGGAUUUACUGGGUGUAAAGGGCGCGUAGGCGGGGGUGCAAGUCAGAUGUGAAAUCUAUGGGCUUAACUCAUAAACUGCAUUUGAAACUGUAUCUCUUGAGUGCUGGAGAGGUAGACGGAAUUCCUUGUGUAGCGGUGAAAUGCGUAGAUAUAAGGAAGAACACCAGUGGCGAAGGCGGUCUACGGGACAGUAACUGACGCUGAGGCGCGAAAGCGUGGGGAGCAAACAGGAUUAGAUACCCUGGUACUCCACGCCGUAAACGAUGAAUACUAGGUGUAGGGGGUAUCGACUCCCUCUGUGCCGCAGUUAACACAAUAAGUAUUCCGCCUGGGGAGUACGGCCGCAAGGUUGAAACUCAAAUGAAUUGACGGGG